rnacentral:lncRNA from 1 species
UCAUAACCAGGUGCUCCGCAGGGCGCAGCUUUAUACGACCGCAGAGGUCGAACCCUGAACAGUUGGGGCAAGUAUGGACAAAACAUUCAAGCGUGAUACAGCUCUGAAUUUGGAUUGUGAUCAAAUUUUUGACAUUACAUGGUUUUUUUUUACACAAAACAAAUGUCAAGAUUUUACAAAUCAAUCAAAGAUUUCUUCUUCAAACUUUUUAAAUCUAAAAUUAAAUAGUUGAUCAUGACACAGCAUAGGUUUCUGACACAGAACGAAUGUGGUCUAAUGAACUUAAAAGUUUUUUUUGCCUUUGAGCAAUUCACUAUGCUGUUGAAUAUUAAUCCUCUCAAACAAAUGUUUGAAGAAAUUUUCUUUUUAUUUAUGAAAUCUGAAAUGAGAAAAAUUUAAACCCCCCCCCCUUUUUUCACAUCCCCGUUUCCCUUUUUCCAAAACUGAUAUCAAUUCAAAUUUCUAAUGGAGUUUGCAACAAUAACUACUCUUUUAAAUAAAUCAUAAAAUAUUAAAAUGUAAAAUAUAGUGCUUGUUAUCACUGAAUGUAAAGAUUGGUUGUAGUAAAAGUGAAUAUACAUUGUUUAUUGUAUAAAACAAUAAAAAAAACUUCAUCAGCAACAUUUUAUAUUGGCAAAUUUCCAAUGAAGUUAUUUACAUAAAAUUAUUGGCAAAUAAAAAUAGAAAAUGACAUCAUAGUCAUGUCUGGCAAAUGUCCAACAUACAUUAUCUAAAAACAUUUUAGAUAAGAUAAGGGAAAAAAAGCUUCAUCAGCAACAUUUUAUAUUGGCAAAUUUCCAAUGAAGUUAUUUACAUAAAGUUAUUGGCAAAUAAAAAUAGAAAAUGACAUCAUAGUCAUGUCUGGCAAAUUUCCAACAUAUAAAAUCAACUACUAUUCUAUACAAAGAAAGAUAACUCCAAUUGAAAAUUAAUUGCUAUUGCACAAUAUUGUGCAAUUAGAUAUUUCUUGCUAUUGUGCAAUACUGUGCAAUUGAAAAUUUCUUGCUAUUGCACAAUACUUGAUAUGGAAUCCUGAUUUGGACCAACUUGAAAACUGGGCCCAUAAUCAAAAAGCAAAGUACAUGUUUAGAUAAAGCAUAUCAAAUAAGCCCAAGAAUUUAAUUUUUUGUUAAAAUCAAACUUAGUUUAAUUUUGGACCCUUUGGACCUUAAUGUAGACCAAUUUGAAAACUGGACCAAAAAUUAAGAAUCUACAUACACAGUUAGAUUUGGCAUAUCGAAGAACCCAUUUAUUCAAUUUUUGAUGAAAUCAAACAAAGUUUAAAUUUGGACCCCCAUUUGGACCAACUUGAAAACUAGGCCAAUAAUUAAAAAUCUAAGUUCAUUUUUAAAUUCAGCAU